rnacentral:lncRNA from 1 species
UGACAAAAUACAGCUAAAUGAAAAAAUAAAAAAUAAAGAAAAUGAGAUAAAAAUCCUAAAUGAAGAAAAAAAUAUGCUACACAAACUUGCACAUGAUAAAAUUGUAUAUAUGAAAAAAAAUUUUGAAUUUAGAUGUUAUAUCGAAAAGUUACAACACAAUAUAAAUUCCAAAACCAUAGCUUUUAAUAAUUUAAAAAAUGAAAAAAACAAUUUAGAAAAAAAAAUAAAUACAUACUAUGAGCAAUUACAAUUAGCAAAAGAAGAUAUAAAUAUGUAUAUGAGUUAUUUAAAUCAUAUGAAGCUCAAAAUCCAAAAGGAAAAACAGCAACAACAACCACAGCAAGAAAAGAAGCAACAACUGCAAAAGGAGGUAGAACAAAAAGAAAUAAGAAAAUUUAAACAAUUUUUAAAAAAUUGUAAUAAAAAAUUAUUUAUUAAACAAAAAAAAACAAAUUUUGCUUGUUAUAAAAAAAACAGAGAAAUUUAUUUUGAAAAAAAAUGCGAACAUAAAAAGCAUCCAAAACAUGAUAAAACUUUUUUUUUAAUACUGGAUGAACAAAAUAUGAAUAACAAUUUUCAAUUAACUGAGUUUUCUUUAGAUAACACACGUAAUAAACAUGUACAAGAGCCAAUGAAUGAUCAGAUUGAAAAAAAAAAAAAAUGGAAAACAAAUUACGAGCAUGUGUUACCUCUUAUUCAGAACAAUAGUAAUAAGAGUGGCUUAAAUGAUGAGCACCUUAAAUUGUUUACUAGUGAAUUUUCAAAGAGGGAAAUACAGAACGAUAUACAUCAAGACAUACAUCAAGACAUACAUCAAGACAUACAUCAAGACAUACAUCAAGACAUACAUCAAGACAUACAUCAAGACAUACGUCAAGACAUACAUCAAGACAUACAUCAAGACAUACAUCAAGACGUACAUCAAGACAUACAUCAAGACAUACAUCAAGACGUACAUCAAGACAUACAUCAAGACGUACAUCAAGACAUACAUAAAAGCGUAGAGCAUUACACACAAUACGAUAUACAACAAGAUACAGAACAAGAAAUGAAUAUUCAAAUCAGAGGGGUACCCCAAAUAAAACACGAGUACGAUGAAAUGGUUGAACUAGUUAAAAAAGAAAAAUUAUGUGACAACGACAAAUGCAAU